rnacentral:rRNA from 1 species
UGAGGAAUAUUGGUCAAUGGACGAGAGUCUGAACCAGCCAAGUAGCGUGCAGGAUGACGGCCCUAUGGGUUGUAAACUGCUUUUGUUUGGGAAUAAUCGACAUUACGUGUAAUGUUUUGCAUGUACCAUUCGAAUAAGGACCGGCUAAUUCCGUGCCAGCAGCCGCGGUAAUACGGAAGGUCCAGGCGUUAUCCGGAUUUAUUGGGUUUAAAGGGAGCGUAGGCCGUUUGGUAAGCGUGUUGUGAAAUGUAGGAGCUCAACUUCUAGAUUGCAGAGCGAACUGUCAGACUUGAGUGCGCACAACGUAGGCGGAAUUCAUGGUGUAGCGGUGAAAUGCUUAGAUAUCAUGAAGAACUCCGAUUGCGAAGGCAGCUUACGGGAGCGCAACUGACGCUGAAGCUCGAAGGUGCGGGUAUCGAACAGG